rnacentral:rRNA from 1 species
AUGGGUACACUCCUCGUAAAUUCAGUACCAGCAUCCGUUUUAUUUGAUACAGGAGCAUCCCAUUCAUUCAUAUCUGCAGAAUUUGCAUUCCUGCAUGGCAUUAAUUACGAAGAGAUAAACACUCCGCUAGUGGUACACACCCCUGCGGGCCAAUGUCAAACCACUAUGGUUAGUCACGAUGUUACUGUUGAAAUUGAAGGACUGGAAUUUCUUGUCUCUCCCAUCGUACUGAAGUCCUGUAGCAUUGAUCUCAUUCUGGGAAUGAAUUGGUUAAAAGCGCAUACUGCUUCAAUCGUUUGCACCACUAAGACCGUCCAUCUGCUACACCCUUCAGAUGAGAUAGUUACUUACCAAGCCCAUCUGGUGCAAAAUGCCGAGGCAAGGCUCUAUGCAUUGAAUGCAUUGAACGCUGCACCACUCGAGGGCAUUGAAAACAUUCCCGUCGUGCGUGAAUUCCUCGAUGUCUUCCCUGAAGAACUUCCAGGGAUUCCCCCUGCUAGAGCUGUCGAAUUCAUCAUCGACUUGAAACCAGGCACCACUCCUAUAGCAAAGCGACCCUACAAAAUGCCGCCGCAUGAACUCCUUGAGCUUAAGGAGGAAAUCGACAAGUCUCUUCGCAAAGGAUUCAUUCGCCCAAGUUGCUCUCCUUGGGGAGCACCUUCUCUCUUUGUCAAGAAGAAGGAUGGGACAAACCGGUUAGUUCAAGACUACCGUCCUAUAAACCAAGCUACCAUUCAGAAUAAAUACCCUCUUCCUCGGAUCAAUGAUCUGUAUGAUCAACUGGCGGGUUCGUCAGUGUUCUCUAAGCUCGACUUGAGGUUGGGCUACCACCAGAUCCGUGUUCGCGAAGAGGAUAUCCCAAAAACCGCCUUCGUGACUCGCUAUGGUUCAUACGAGUACACCGUCAUGUCUUUCGGUUUAACCAAUGCUCCAGCCACCUUCUCUCGUCUGAUGAACUAUAUAUUCAUGGAUUACCUCGACAAGUUCGUCGUGGUUUAUCUGGAUGAUAUCCUGGUAUUCUCCAAGAACGAAGAAGAACAUGUUGAACAUCUUCGUCUUGUGCUGGAAAAACUACGAGAACAUCAACUAUAUGCCAAGUUCUCUAAAUGUGAAUUCUGGCUACCGGAAGUAACCUAUCUGGGGCAUGUCAUCUCUAAGGAUGGUAUUGCCGUCAACCCCGAGCGAGUUCAGGCUAUUCUUGAUUGGACUCCUCCCAAGAACGUUAAGCAAGUCAGAAGUUUUCUCGGUCUCGCCAGCUAUUGCCGUCGAUUCGUCGAGAACUUCUCUAAGAUCGCCAGGCCUCUGACUAACCUGUUGCAUAAGGGUGUCAAGUUCCAAUGGACAGACAAAUGUCAGGAAAGUUUCCAGGCACUCAAAGACAAGUUGACUUCUGCCCCAGUUCUAGCUCCACCUGAUACUAAGAAGGACUUCAUCAUCUACUGCGACGCUUCCCGUCAAGGAUUAGGCUGUGUCCUAAUGCAAGACCGCAAAGUGAUUGCUUAUGCCUCUCGACAAUUGCGCCCUCACGAAGAGAACUACCCAGUUCACGACCUCGAACUUGCUGCUGUCAUUCAUGCGCUGAAGCAGUGGCGACAUUACCUUCUCGGUAAUCGAUGCGAGAUCUUCACUGACCACCAAAGUCUGAAGUAUCUGUUUACUCAACCAGAUCUGAACCUCCGUCAGCAGAGAUGGAUGGAGCUCGUUGCAGACUUUGACUUGGGUAUUUCCUAUACGCCAGGCAAGGCUAAUGUAAUGGCUGAUGCCUUGAGCCGCAAGUCUUACUGCAACCACCUCCAGGUUCAUAAAGUUCAGCCCUCACUUGUUGAAGAAUUCAGGAAGCUGAACCUCCAUAUUGUUCCUCCGGGUGCACUCGCUCCCCCUCCUAAGUAA